UACGAAGGGGGCUAGCGUUGUUCGGAAUUACUGGGCGUAAAGCGCGCGCAGGCGGUUCUUCAAGUCAGUGGUGAAAGCCCGGAGCUCAACUCCAGAACUGCCUUUGAUACUGGCGAUCUUGGAGUCCGGGAGAGGUGAGUGGAACUCCGAGUGUAGAGGUGAAAUUCGUAGAUAUUCGGAAGAACACCAGUGGCGAAGGCGGCUCACUGGCCCGGUACUGACGCUGAUGUGCGAAAGCGUGGGGAGGCAAACAGG
rnacentral:rRNA from 1 species